UUGUGUGUGGAAUCAAUACGCAAAUCGAAACGGAUCAGGGUUGGUUCGGUGAUGACACGGGUCUCAACAACGCGGAUUUGUGGUGCUGUGACUUCUAACUUGCAUUUAUUGUGUGUGUGUGUG
rnacentral:sRNA from 1 species